UACUCCAGUCCUCUCCACCCCAAGGUAGGCAGCUUCCCGCUCCUCGUCUUGGGACCUAAACCCAGGAAGUCAAAUGUCCUUUUCUAGCAGGUCGCCUGGUUAGAGGCCGUGGACGAAGCGGUCCAGGCACAGCCAGCUGCAGGGCGCGGCCUCGGCGGCGCUGCUCGUGGCCCUGGUCAGUGAGCGCACUCACUCCUGGACUAAGCUCUAUGCAACUCAUUUUCAUCUAGCAUUACCUCUCCAAAACCUGAAUCUCCACAAGAAAGCCACACAGCAAUUAACCAGUGUUGCAAGAACUGCUUCUGUAAUAAAGGUGGGAAGACAAAUUGAUGCAACCCUCUUGAAAAGCAAUCUGGCAAUAUGAACCAAGAGCCAUGAAAAGGCUUAUGCUAUUAUAAUUAAAUGGCUGUAAUGUUGGCUGUAAAUAUGAAAUUUUCUUUCACACACCAAUGUUUUCAAGAAUGGCAUAUUCACAUGCAGUAUGUGUUAUUGCUGGUGAAAAGGAUGUUUAAGCAGAGUGAGAGACUCUCAGCAAAAAAAGGUAACUGAAAGAGUGGUAAGUCAGACAAAGAAGAAAAAUGCCAAAGAAGAGGGUCAAGAACAACUCAUAUGACUCCGAAAUCCCUUACCCACAUUGGAGUUAUAAAAAGUUCAGGAGCUGGAGACAAAAGGCAGGUUCAUAAAGAGGAUUCCUUGGAGAGAGUUGUUAUAAUGCUAUGAGAAAAUUGAAGCCAACAGAAGUUAACUAACUUGCCUAAAAUAACACAGCUGUGGCAAAUUAGGACCAGAACCAAGGUCUCCUGACCUAAGUGCUACUCCCACCAUACUACAUGAUCUGCUGUUUAAAAUUUUGGUGAGCUUUAUAACAUAAAUAAAACUACAGAUGUGAA
rnacentral:lncRNA from 1 species